CUCACUUUUGGAAACAUAGAAAAGACAGGUCUUCUGAUUCCUAUCUGUUAGGAAAAUGAAAAGCACUGUCUUCGUGUGGCCUUGCAAAUGCACAGGUGGAUGAAGAACCUAUAUUGGAAAGGACAUCACAAGAGUUUUCAAGUCACAACAGCACCCUGGCAUUCUGCUGAACACUAUAGACAAAGCGCCCCAUCCUGACUUUCUAAAG